CUUGGCUCGGACUCCGGGACUGGGUGAGAGUGCUUAAAGAAUGUGAAGACCCUGUCGGUGUUCUGUCCGACUAUCUAGGUCCAGCCCGAACAUACUCUGCUGUAUACACUUAGGAGGCCCCUCAGUCACGACGUGAAACCCUGGAGUAAUGCCGUAUGUGGUUACGGGCAACAACCACCACCACCCUCUCACUUAACUGUAGGAGUAAAGCAAUUUUAACAAAUCAAAUAAGCAAAAAUUAAUUCUUCUAAUGAGAGUGAAAGUUGCACUUUCCUAGGGUAAUCCUUUAUGGACACCUCACUCAAAAUAUCAGGACAUGUAUCUAUUAUAGGUGCUACUAAGCUUUAGGAUUCACUGCAAAUUUUCCAGUAGGGGCACUGUGAAUCAGUUGGAAAUCAAGAACAGGACUUAAGGAGGAAUUCCUUUUUUUUUUUAAAGGCCUAAUUUUUUUUUUUUUUUU
rnacentral:lncRNA from 1 species